CCUAGAGUUGUAGGCUUUGCCUGCUAUCUCUUACCCAUGUCUUUUGAGUACCUUCGUUUCCUCGGCGGGUCCCGCCCGCCGAUUGGACAAUUUAAACCAUUUGCAGUUGCAAUCAGCGUCUGAAAAAACUUAAUAGUUA
rnacentral:misc_RNA from 1 species